ACGCACGCUGGCGGCGUGCUUAACACAUGCAAGUCGAACGGGAUUUAGUAAACAGAAACCUCGGUGGAAGAUUACUAAUGAGAGUGGCGAACGGGUGAGUAACGCGUGAGCAACCUGCCUAUGACAGUGGGAUAGCCUCGGGAAACCGGGAUUAAUACCGCAUAAAAUCGUAGAAACACAUGUUUUAACGGUCAAAGAUUUAUCGGUCAUAGAUGGGCUCGCGUCUGAUUAGCUAGUUGGUGAGAUAACAGCCCACCAAGGCGACGAUCAGUAGCCGGUCUGAGAGGAUGAACGGCCACAUUGGAACUGAGACACGGUCCAAACUCCUACGGGAGGCAGCAGUGGGGAAUAUUGCACAAUGGGGGAAACCCUGAUGCAGCGACGCCGCGUGAACGAAGAAGGUAUUCGUAUCGUAAAGUUCUGUCCUAUGGGAAGAUAAUGACAGUACCAUAGAAGAAAGCUCCGGCUAAAUACGUG
rnacentral:rRNA from 1 species